rnacentral:rRNA from 1 species
GUGCCAGCCGCCGCGGUAAGACAGAGGGUGCAAACGUUGCUCGGAAUCACUGGGCGUAAAGGGCGUGUAGGCGGGAAGGUAAGUCGGGCGUGAAAUCCCUGAGCUCAACUCAGGAACUGCACUCGAAACUACUUUUCUUGAGUGCCGGAGAGGAAAGCGGAAUUCCUGGUGUAGAGGUGAAAUUCGUAGAUAUCAGGAGGAACACCAGUGGCGAAGGCGGCUUUCUGGACGGUAACUGACGCUGAGACGCGAAAGCGUGGGGAGCAAACAGGAUUAGAAACCCCCGUAGUCC